rnacentral:rRNA from 1 species
UACGUAGGGCGCAAGCGUUAUCCGGAAUUAUUGGGCGUAAAGAGCUCGUAGGCGGUUUGUCGCGUCUGCCGUGAAAGUCCGGGGCUCAACUCCGGAUCUGCGGUGGGUACGGGCAGACUAGAGUGAUGUAGGGGAGACUGGAAUUCCUGGUGUAGCGGUGAAAUGCGCAGAUAUCAGGAAGAACACCGGUGGCGAAGGCGGGUCUCUGGGCAACACUGACGCUGAGGAGCGAAAGCGUGGGGAGCGAACAGG